rnacentral:lncRNA from 1 species
AUGGGAUUCAUAAUGGAAAGCAGAUAGUAUAUAGGUCUAGCUAGUUGAUUCUCUAUGACGGAAUAUGUGCCCAGUAAAUUUAGGUAAGCAUUGCGGUAUAUAUAGAACUGGAAUACAUCCAGAUACACGAUGGAAAAGGAUCAGCAGUUCAUGGGCAAGACAGACCAAGAUGGAAAACUAACCUCAACACGCCAAUACAACAUGCAAGGAUCUCAAUGGUGUAUCUAGGAAUUCAAAAUAUUAAUGCGAACCUUCUCAUGAUAAUUCUGUUUUUUCCUAUCAACAUUGCAUUGCACAAAUAUUGCGAGAGGAAUGAUCUCCUUAGAAGAAGGUAUUGCACAAAAAAGAGUAGAGUCAUUUCAGAGUCACGACAUGUUGACACAGGUUUCCGUCAGUUGGUAUGGCUAACCUGAAUUUCCAGAGUUUCCUAAAAGACAAUUUCCUAAUGCCGCACAUUCUCAAGAUCUACAAAAAACUAGUUUCGCCUUUAUGUGAGACAAAAGCUCACCUGAACAUUUUUUUAAUUAAGUCGAUACGUAGUGGCAACGUCAGCGCAGAUUUAAGUGGAUGAACGCUGAAAAACUUUUCACCUACCGUAGUGGAAAUGGAAUAGUUAUGAUGGAAGAUACCCUUGACACCCAAAGAGGAAAGACCAUAAACUAGUCAUCCAUAAUAAGGUAUCUCCUCUUCGCACCCAAAGAGAAAGUGUCGCAUAUUGUCUAUAUGUUUGGUUCGUAUAAAUAACUCAAGCAAAUGUUGAGAUCAAAUUGGUUGUGAUUCCAGAAUAUAAUUUUACGACCCUAUCGUCCACAAAUUCAAGCUUUGUCAUGUUUUGAAAGUCAUGCAUUCGAACCUGCCCUACUGCACAUUCGUUUUCUACGUAUUGAACGUGAAUAUAAUGUCAAAUAAGAAUUUGAUCUUGGCGGGCACUCAAGAAAGCCGCUCACCACCAUGCACCUGUAAUGUGUCAAUUUUCUUUUUUUUUUAAAAGAAAAAGAGGAAGACCCCGGUCUCUGCCUCUGGGCAAUGCAUGCAGUCAAUUUAUUAAUUAUUUACAAAAGACCUUAUAAAGAGAUACAACAGUAAGUCCAAGGCCACCGUCUAGGCAACAUCCAUCGUUACUCAUAUCCAGUUGAUGAAGCGAUGCUGAUAGCCUGGACCUAAUACCAAACAGAGCUCGUAGCCAAGCUUAACAUCUAAGCCGUGAGGCCCCAUCCAAGCUACUUGCGGAGUAUGGGGCGGACACCGGUCCGGCGCACUUACAGAGGCCGCCACCCCCACCUGCUACCAGUCCAACUUUGGAGUUGUACUUACGCAUCUAACCCUAGCUAGCUCUUUACAAUGAAGCUAAAGAAGAAGAAAGCUGGAUAUAGUCGUUUCUUUCUGGCGACGAACGCCUUUGGCCGCCGAACGACCUCCUUUCUUCUCAGCACACACGGUUACAACUAACUCGAUUACAGUCGUAUGUGCAGCUAAUCAGGACGUAGUGCCCACGCUCGACGCGAUCACCCCACCUAAGCUUCCCUGGGUCUAACCCUAGCUAGCUCUUUACAACGGAGGUAAAAGAAGAAGAAAUCUGGAUAGAGUCGUUUCUUUCUGGCGAUGAACGUCUUUGGCCGCCGAACGACCUCCUUUCUUCUCAGCACAAACGGUUACAAUUGACUCGAUUUACAACCAUAUGAUUAGCUAAUCAGGAUGUAGUGUCCACGCUCGACGCGGUCACCCCACCUAAGCUUCCCUCACGAUCCAUUCUUCAAACGUGAGCUGCCCACUCCUCUGCAAGACCUGAACGCCACCCCGUAGCUAGCUACAAACCCUCUUGACACAAAACUAUCAUUGAACGUGGCCAAACCAACGUCCGGACUCGACCAGACCUUGACGCAAAUCCACGCGACGCACAUACGCGGUUUAUUUUCCUCACAGGCCAAGUCAUGCUACAUCUGCUGCCUUUUCUUUUGUUCGGACGCGCCUCCCGCAACCCUCCCCGCCAUGGACCGCCAGUCCGAACCCUUGGACAGGCGUCGUGCAUGCAUAUCACAUGCCCGUCCCAAGGGCCCCUGUGUUGGGUCUCCUUGGCCCCGCUCCCGCGGGCCACUAGGCCUUCUUCGGCGCCGCCACCCAGCUGGAGACCAGUCACACAACUUUACAUUCAGACACGAGGGAUGCUAGUAUGCCCGCAAUUAUCUCACCUUCCCAUGUAGCCAAGGUAAUUAACCAACAUACACCAAUAAUCCACGCGGAACACCCCUGAAGAUCUACGGCAAGAUAGCUCAUACUAGUAAAAAAAGGACUUUUAGCCCCGAUUCGGUUGGAUCAUUAGUCCUGGUUCGUGAACCGGGAGUAAUUAACCGGAACUAAUGCUAGCUCCGGUUUGGCCCCGAACCGGGGCUAAUGGCCUUCCACCUGGCGGGGCUGGGAGCGAGGGCGUGGGGGGAGGGGACUUCGCUGUUUUCUAGCAAUAUUUAGGGUUUAUUUGUUUUGGGAUAUUUUGUUGCCCCCAAUUUUUCCAUUUAUUUGUUUUGGACACUUUUUAAUUCUUAUUUUGCACUAAAUUGGAUGGGGCUAUUUUGCUGCCCCCAAUUUUCCCAUUUACUAAAUUGGAUGGUACAUACACAACAAUAAAAGAAUAACUAUAUUGCACAUCAUCGUCCCGAAUAUAUUACACCAUCUCACCCGUCGUGCUUUGUGGAACAUAUUACAAAAUGUAGAGACGAGUUACACAUAUGCACAUAUGUCUCUUUUACACUAUAAGAUUUCAUACUAUUCUCAUCGACGAGCAAUAAUAUUCUCCCUUCACACCUAAGACCUCUGCAUCUAAGAAUCCGACAAUUUUCUCUUGAAUUGCUCUUACACGUUCCUGUGGUAGAAGACCGUCCCGCAACCGUUCGAUCUAAUUUAAAGAAUGUGUCAAUAUAUAUAUAUCAAUGGAACCGAACACAAUUCACGGUAAUAAAAUAAAGUUGCGAGUAUUGUUUAUCGUACUUCGAUUUUUUUAUGUCCCUUUUUUCCCUUCUCAUGGGUCGUCUAGCGAAUGAACUCGCAAAUAUAGUAUCCACAUAAAUUGUUUCCAUGUUCCUGCCUCAAGCACUUUACGAGAAGAGAGUUCAAUCAAAAACAUAAUCAAGAAUUAUAAUGGUAUUGAAACUAGAAUAAAGAGAUGCGCGGAUAUAGCUAGUAGUUACUUACAUCUAUUUGUUUAAAUGUAAGCUUUGGCUUCCAAUCACCCCGAGCCUUGGCGGUGAACCGUUUCCAUGUCCCUGCCAAGAAAAGGAAAUGAAUAAAAGAGUUCUAUAUUAAUUCCUUGCUAUCAGGAAAUGAACGAGAAGUUGCCGAUAUAGUGCCAUUACCUCUGGAGGCAUUCCUACAUGUUCGUCCAUUCAUCGAGGGGUGUGCAUUUCGGUUCCAUGACUAUUACUUGUCCCUUGUCAGAUACAAUGAUUAACAAAAUAAAGUAGCACAUGCGCACGCAUAACGAGACAAUUAUACACUUAUAAUAACAUCGAGUAAGCGAAAAUAGAAUGUGUGUAGUAACACUCACUUGAAGUUGUAAGGAAAUAUUAUUUCCCUUUUGGUACCGGAAAACCUUAACCCUUGUACCAAGUUAUUCUCUGUAUCGCGGGACUCGUUGCGAGACUUUUGUGAUGAAUGAAAUAUGGGUCAAUGAACCCAAUGACAUAGAUUUGUCGUCUUUUGCAUUCGAGAAUCUUCAGUCUGCAAAAUUAAUAUAGUGAUGAGUAAGAUUAUACAUGAAAGAAUGAGCUGAGUAAGACUUAAGGACAUAAAUUAAUAAUACUUACAAACAAUAGGCACUGAUGAUAGAUUUGUCGAGGGCGUCUUGUUGGUAUAAUUGAAAUAAUUUGUCGAAUUCAAUCAUUACCAUGCCAUCUCCAUGCUCGAAAUGCUCGUUUUCAAAUUCAAGGUAUAUCCAGUUUGCGUGUUGAACACAUGCUUGCAUGUACCAGUCAUGCAAUCUUCGCAUUUUUGUUGGUAGCUCGUUGACUAACUCAUAUUUGACGAGAGGAGACCCGUACCGAUACAUGUAUUCUAUGUUAGUGAAUACCUCCAAAUGAUUUAAGUACUCAUCAAUAGACAUGCCUUGAGCCUUGGCCGCUUCUCCGUAUUGUUCAAGAAAAUCCGGAUCGGUGCCCGCUGUUUCAUCAUUUCUCUGCUGGACCGCAGCUCCGCUCGAGCACACAUUUGUAUCCGAAUACACUUUGAGCGGGGGGAACGAUUGGUUUUUCUGUUGUUCGAGCUGGGCAACUGAUUUCCCGUUGGACGUACUACUCUUCAACCGCUGCUUUUUUGCCUGAGCCGACUUGAGAAUAGAGCGUUCAUAGUCUGCUGGCAACGGUGGCGGGGGAUCUGCAAGGUUUUUCAGCAUUUUCACGCACGCGGCGUGUUCUUCUGGGGUGUCCGGGAACUCUGGCUCUUUCGCAUUCUUCUUGUUAGCUACUUGAGUCUUCCACUGUUAAUGCUGGGCGUCUGCCCUCUUAACAUUGUCCUCUCUAGUAUAGUCCCAAGGUCUCUUCUCCAUAUUUGCAUGAGGUACUUUUGGGAGGAGCGACAACUUACGUUUUGGUGAUCAGAUCCCCUUUCUGCCACCACUAUUAGCGGGGGUACGUUUCUGGUUUUUGCUCUGAUCCCCAGUGGAUGGAGACGGCUGAUGGGGCAGUGGAGAUGGAGGAUGCGGCGGUGGAGACGGCGGAUGCGGCGGUGGAGACGGCUGCGCUGGAGACUGGUGAGGCGGCGAAGACGACGGUUGCGCUGGAGAUUGGUGAGGCGGCGAAGACGACGGUUGCGCUCGAGACUGGUGAGGUGGAGGCGAAGAAGGAUUGCUGUUAUGAGGAGUCGGUGGCCUUGGCGUCCAAUUUGGAAGCAAGAUGUCCUCCUUUGGCCAUACAACGGUUUGUUUCUUGACUUCUCCAAGUUGAGUCAAAUCCCUAUCUUCACCUGCAGGGUGGUCGAGCUUCAGCUCCUCAUAAUCUUUCAUCACUUCAUCCACUGCGACGACAGCGUACCCUUGUGGAACCAGAGAAUAAUGCCAAGUUGGAUUACGUCCAAUUGGUAUGGCCAUGUGACCGCCACCUUCAACCUUAAGUUAACAAGUUUCACCUUUAGCUCACAAGGUGUGCUCUCUAUGAUAUCAUCCACUCGGUAGCAAUGAGGAGGAUCCGUCGUCAGUGCAUCAUCACCCUCAUCCUAGAGCUGCGUGGAAGCGACACUGCUUUUUCGAUUCGAUGCAGUUUCUAUCAGGAGCCGCUGAGAUUGGCCGCUACCUUGUCGUCUGUCGAUUUGAUCCUGCUGCAGCUGCUUUACUGCUUCUUCUAGAUUAUGCAGUCGGUCUGCCUCAUCCGCUGUAUCACGUGCCUCCUUUUCCUUUCUCCUCUGAUGGCUUCUAUCGGUAAAUCUCUUUCUUUCCUCGAAGAAUGCAAGAAUCCACGGCGGGGAGCCUGGUAAGCCUCGUGCUCGCCCUUUGUGUUCCUUAUUCCAAGGGCGCGUGUGAGCUCGUCAUUCUCUCUACCAGGUAAGAACCGUCCCUCUUCAACAUCCUGUACUGCACGUCUAAUCUCCUCGAUGGGUAGGGGAUUAUCUUUGUGUCUUUGGUUAUAUAUUGCCUUCCCAUCUGCGUCCAACAAGCCCCCAUGCCCGUAAACCAGUUUCUUGCCCGUUCGAGCCAUCUUAAGGGCUCUGGAGUGAUAUUUUUGUCCAGAAAUGAUGCCUCAAGUUUUUCCCACUUAGCCAUCUUACCGCCGUAGCCACCAGGCACCAUAAUAUGGUGGUACUUCUUCUUACAUGCAUUCGUCUUAUUUGUUGCUGAAUUUUUCAAGGCGUCCUCUGAUUUCUUAUACGCCACAAAUUCAGCCCAGUAGUCUUUAAUCUUCUCAUAGCCGUGAUCAAAAUGUGGAGUCUUAUCUUUCAAGAUAAAAUCCUGGUGCAAUCUUUUUUUGCAGCCCCUGAAUAGAUCGGUCAUCUUCUUAAGAGCCCACUCCUUAACUUUUUUAUCUAGGGCCUCUUUUCGCCUAUUCAUUUCCUCCUCAUUUGGCUCCUCCUCAUCUGGAUCCACCUGUGGCGCCGGCAGGGUAAAAUGAAGCAUGAACUUUCUCUAGAGGUUUUCUUUGGCUGUUGUGCUGACAUAUGAGACUCCUUCCUUCCUUGGCUUAAUCCAUUCUCGAGUGAUGAUAGGGAUGUGGUCCCUAACAACAACUUCGCAUGCCUUCACAAACUUCUUCUUUACAUAUGUGGGAGCAAUUGGUUGCCCGGCAUUUGAGACUGUUUCAAUCCUGUAUCUCUCACCGUCAUCCAGCUUCUUGGUUGGGCCUCGUUUCGUCCGUACUGAAGAUCGUCACCGGAGCUUCUGCCUCGUGUGUUGAGAGACUCAUCUCCCUCUGGACUAGUUCAGAAACUGAUUGAUGACAUCGACAUCGCGAGCUAAAAUAUCAUCCCCGCGGAUGACACCAUGCAUCACGUCUUCUUGAUAUUCGUCUCUGCCGUGUAUUGGAUCCAUAGUAUCUACAAAUUAAUUAAACAUCAUCGAAUAAUCCACUUAAUUAAUGCAUCAUCGAAUAAGACACUUAAUAUUAUCGAAUAUAUAUUCUGUAAUACAUAAAUAAUACAUCUCUCGAAUACAGUAAUACAUUGAAUAAUAUAACUGAUCAACCAACAAAGAGCCGUCGCUGUACUAAGGCGCGGGUGGUGGACACCCAAAGAGCAGGGACCUGUUGGGUAACGUUGCAUGGGAAACACAAAUUUUCCUACGCACACGAAGACCUAUCAUGGUGAUGUCGGUCUACGAGUUGAGAUUGGAUCUACGUACCCUUGUAGAUCGCUCAGCGGGAAGCGUUAAGAAACACGGUUGAUGUAGUGGAACGUCUUCACGUCCCUCGAACCGUCCCACGAACCGUCCCGCAAUCCGUCCCACGAACCGUCCCGCGAUCGGUCCCACGAUCCGUUCCGACCUAGCGCCGAACGGACGGCACCUCCGCGUUCAGCACACGUACAUCUCGAUGACGAUCUCGGGCUUCUUGAUCCAGCAAGAGAGACGGAGAAGUAGAUGAGUUCUCCGGUAGCGUGACGGCGCGCCAGUGUUGGUGAUGAACUAUUCCUGCAGGGCUCCGCUCGAGCUCCGCAGAAAUCUAAUCUAGAGGAAGAACUACGAGGUGUAGGUUUGAGUUGCACGUGGCAAAGUUGUGUCUCAAAAGGCCUAAACCUCUAGUAUAUAUAGGAAGAGGGGAGAGGCAGCCUUGGUGCACCAAGGAGUCCUCCUUGAGUUGGCCGAAGUGGGAGAGAGGGAGGAGUCCUUCUCCAAUCCCACUUGGAUUAGGACCCCUUCCUUAUUUUCCCACCUCUUUUGGAUUUUCCACUUUUUCCUCAUGGGGUUUCCUUGAAUGACUUUGUUAGCCCAUUAUACCUUAGUGUACAUCCAAUAAACCCACGUGGACCCCUUGGGGCGUGGUGGGCCCACCCAGUGGGCCUCCGGAACCCAUUCGUCACUCCCGGUACAUAAAUUUUCUUUUUAUUAGACUUUUAUAUUUCGGACUGUAUGCAUUUUAAUUUAUUUUUGAGGCUUCACCCAACAUUCGCUCGCUCAGAGGAUGUUGCGUGGAGAGCGAGGGAUGUGGUUGGUCUUCGCAGUCUCAUCCUAAAUGUAAAAAAAAAACUGAAUUGAAAAACAAGCCGCCGUGGCAUGGAGAGUCAUCGGCGAAACAUGGGCCCACGAAAGUCAAAUAAGAAAGACAUAUGAAAGUAAUUGGUGAGAUAAGUUUGCUUAAAUUGAGUAAAAAUUUAGCAAACCUGCUUAAUGAGAUAAUUAUUAUCACAAUCGGAAACUAUAGGGGAUAUAAAUGAAUUUGCUCGUAAUGAAAUUUAAGAGCCCGUCUUACCUACGUCAUGGUGCUACCUUAGUAUGGGAGAUGUACUUAUCAUUUAACUCCUAUAGAUAUGUCAACACAAAAUAUCCUAUAUAUAUGUUUCUCCUUCUUGCAUGCCACUAACCUAGCUUCCACCUUUUCACACAAACAGGCAAUGCCACAUACUUAUGUUUGGUUCUCUAAAUUAUACUCAUAGAAAUGGAAGUUGUCAGGAACUUCUUCCAAUACAUAUAGUCAACAUCGGGCAAGAAUGAUCGUCUUAUUGUUUUCAUCAAGAACACCUGCUUGGCCACUACAUAUGUGAAUCCAUCUCUCAUGGCACCCCGAAUGGCUUUGCCGCGGUCUCUUUCAUCUCCCGGGGGUAAUUACUGGCGGUAUGACUUGUUGUUUUCAAACCGCCACAAGAGGCUUCAAGGCAUCGUUGUCGCAGGCCCGAGCUCAAACCUGUCUACCAGUCAGGUGCAACUUGCAAAGCUUGCUUGAUUUUAGUCAUCAGCGAAGUGGUCGGCUAACGUACGAAGUGGAGCUGCUCGAUUAGUAGCUAGCACAGAUCUAGGCCCGAGGAGAAGAGGACUUCGCAGCAAGGUGCUCCUUGCAAAACUCACUUGGAUCUCUUGGUUGCGAAUUUCAUGGGAGUAAAGUGCACGCACAGCUCAGUUGACACUGAUUAAGUUUUGUUUUUUGUUAAAACUAGGCAAAAUGUUUUCCAUUUUCAGUGAUUACGAGAGAAAGCUAACAAUUUAAGGCCAAAGGCCAAAUACAAUACAUCACUCUUGCGGCAAUGAUGCUACACAAAUGUUUUGUUCCUGCAAUGCUCCAAAGCGAGAACUCCUCUUUGAUCUUAGCGACCAACACCCACCAGAACAGCCCUGUUCCGAAAAACUCUAGCAUUUCGCUCCUUCCAUAUCUCCGAGGAGUUAAGCAUCAUGGAGACAAGAGGCCUUGUCGAUGGAGUUCACUUUGUGGCAUUCUGACUCCACCAAUCCUCGAUCAAAUCCAGAACAAUCCAUACGUUGGGCUGGACAUCAUGGAGCACAAGCCAUGUUUUGACCAUGCCCCAAGCAUGGAUGGUAUAUCGACAUUAAAAAACAAGGUGAGCAGCCAAUUUCUUGACUUGUAGGCAUAAGGCACAUAAGUUGCAGUUCGGCCAUCCUUGGCGGUGAAGCAUGUCAACAGUCUAGAUCCUAUUGUUGAUAGCAAGCCUAGCGAAAAAUUUACACUUUGGAAGCGCCCAGAUCUUCCAAACAAUUUUAUUCAUAUCCGUGCACAGCAAUCUAUGAAACUGAACCCUAUAUGCCGUGGCCGCGGAGUAAUGGCCAUCAGAGGAGAGUUUCCAGGUGAUGGAGUCCUGCAUGUCUGGGUUUAGUUGGACGGGGAUAAGGCUUUCCCAAAGCACAACAAACUGGACCAUGUGCUCUGAAGAGAUGAUCGAAGCCACCUUCACCUGGGAGAUUUAGUAGCCAUUAAGCAAUGCCAUGUGGAUCGAGGGAUUCUUUUUGUUGGAGAUGUCAGAAAUUUUGAAAUCAAUAUGUUUGGGUCUUAUGCCAUCUAGCCGAUCUGACUCCUAGAAAGUUGCGCGGAGACCAUCAUCCAGCUGAACCCUGGUGGCUGAAGCAAAGAUGUUCUGAUCAUUCUGGUCGCGGGAGGAACCCAAGCCCGACCAAGGUUUACUCGUGUCGUGCUAGUUGAACCACAACCAACAGAGAGGAAGAGCAGUGGCAAAAAAAAUUAGAUUUAGAAGGCCGGUUUAUUUAGGAAGCUAAGCUGACCCAUUAUUAGCUAGCGGCCACGAACGCACAUGCUGAAAACGAUGGUGUCUUGCCCAAGGCACGUAACGUGCCUCUUGUUUCUUGCUUUAUUCCUUGAAGUGUGUUUUUUCUGUACCCAAGGAACUUUGGACGUCCGGUGCACCCACGAUUCAAAUUUAGGAAAACAUUUUCAAAAAAUCUAAAACUUGAUACAUGUAAUUAUGAUCAGAUGUUUUCGAUGCCUGAAAAUUUGGUGGAGAAAUGACAUAUGUGGAGUUCUGUACAGAAAAAAACAUGGUUUGUACUAAAAAAUAUGAAUCAUAAAAUUGGACGCAGAGCAUCAUUUGUAUAUGUUUUUGUAUGGAGAUCAUUUGAUGUUUUUUUUACCAAAUUUUGCAAGCUGCUAAAACAUUUUCUCAUAAUCACAUGCAACUUGGGUACAGACACUACUUUCCCUUAUUUCUUUACUAGGAUGUCGUGAGAACGAAAUUGUGCAGGAGCACUCUGCGACGACACUCACUAGAAUCCUGCCCAGUGAACUGUUUCGGGAUCCCCACGUGCAAUAGUAGGCCCAUCGUAGCCAGCUCUUUAUCAUGCAAGUAUUUCUCUUCACCAUGUUCAGUAUAUCAGACGAAAAGUACAUUGGUUUCUAUUCCCACAUGCCAAAGUUCAUGUCCAGGCAUGGAGGGCGAAGCCAUCUGCCAACCUCCAACCACCUAAAGAGAGUUCAAUGAGGUGGUGAGCGUCUCUCCCUCUCAACUCCACUCAUCCUCUUCCUCCAAACAGUCAUCUUCCUCCCCACCGCAACUCAUCCCCAACAGUCAUCUUCCUCCCUACAACAUACCAUCUCGAUUUACGCUGUUCACAACUCAUUCUUUAUCCCCUACGCCGUUCCAUACUGCUUCUGUUUUAGAUGGUUCUACUUAGUUGCCAUGUCAAGCUCUUUCGCACCCAUAUCUGGUUCGAGCGCGCCCUUGUUUUGCUAUGUAAAAUGAACACUGUCGUGGAUUUGGAACCUGUCUCUUCAGCUUGACACUACUCCGAAAUUUAGGUGGUUAUUGAUUGACUAUGAGAUAAGCUUAAAAAUAGCAUUCACACUAUGCAUGCAGAUAGAAGUAGUACAACGAAGUAUUAAUUAGCUAUGAAUAAAUGCAAUGCACUCUAAACAUUGUGUAUUAUAAAAACACACAUAAAUUUAACUGUGUCUUUUAAACUGUGACGUGAGAAUACAUCAUUUGUUCCUAAUUUAUUGCUACCAACAUGUGCGCACUGUGCGGCACUACGCUUGAGCGGUGUAUUAAACAGCGUCAAUUCAUUUUGUCCAAAUGAGCACAGAUCCCUAGACAGCAGGGCAGUGGCUUAAGAGCAAGUACAAUAGUAUAGUCAACUGUUGGCUAUAAGCCAUUGUCAUGUCAUCUAUAGCCCAUCUUAUAUCCAACAUGUACAAUAGUUCAUUGCAAAAGUAUACUGUUUUUUUAUUAUAUGGUCCAUCUUUCAUACUCACAAAAGGCCUAGGAGCACGUGCUAGAGCUGGCUCUUGGCUAAGAGCUCUCUUACCUUCUCUCUCCUCUUUUCUUUCCUCUAACUAAACAAAAAUUUAUUAGUUUAUUCCUUAUAGUCAGCUGACUCAGCUCUAUUGUACUUGCUCUAAGUAAGUUUGGUCGCCUCCGUCGUUAGAAGCACAACAUAUGUAAAUGUACAUUUAUAGUACAUGGCAGCUCGGACCUGGUCGAAAAGAUUCGGUGCUGGAUCGAACUCCGAAACCAUUUCUUUGAAGCCAUUUCUAUAUAUGUGCAUAAUUCUCGAAGCCAUUUCUCAUAUCCAUGCUUCUUGCAGGUGCCCAAGCUCAAUGGCAAUGGCCUGUUAUUAUACACAAACACAUUUGACCUGCAUUGGGUGGCACGGGUAGGUAAUCUCCCUUUAGUUGUAUCGGCAUUGUGCUCGGUUGCAUCUUAACUAUGGAGGGGACACACAUAUGGUCCUUUGUUGAUCUCCGCAGUCCGCACGGGUGUCCCGGUCCAACGUGUGUGUGGUCCGGCGUCGGUCGGGCAGCAAUGUGACUUCUUCCACGGUUGACGGCUCAUCCAGGUGAUGUGGCGGCUCCUGGCAAUGGUGACACCACUAUGGCUCGGGCCAUGUGCGGAUAUCUCCCGAUGAUGGAGAUGUUACCAUGCAUGGGGUGUGGCGAAAGACAAUGGAGAUGGAUUAGGUGGUCUAUCCUGUGAUGGAUGCGAGUAUGCUAGCGAAAUGUUUGUUUCGGCCUUGGCUAGAACUAUCAACGGCGGUGCCCACGGUCAUCGUUACCUGACUAGAGGUGUUGUGGGGCGAUUCUCCGUCCAAUGUGCUUCGGGGAGAACCUCGGAUCUUGGAUUUCCAGAUCGGAUGAUGGCAAUGUUCCUGCCCCGUCAACCCCAUGGAUGCAUCAUCUUUGGAGCCAUACAUAGGCUGGAAGGAUAAGUGUUUUGCUUCGGUGACAGGGUGCAAGUCUCUGCAUGCUUCUUGUGCGGUGAUCAAGGUGUAACAGUGUGUCAUAUACGGUAUUGAAGACAACGAGUCAAGGCGGCAUGGUGCAGCAUGGUCUUGACGCUGGUCAUUGUUUCAUGGGCACGUGUCGAAUGGUGACGUUGUCAGACGCUCUCAGGAGCCAUACAUCUAAUUACGAAAAUACAAUCCAGGAUCUUUAUGCACAACAAUCACCUAUGACCUCUUUCACCCAGUCAGUUGCAUUUGCACAUUUUAGCCAAUGAGUGGUGCAAAGAAUAUAUAGAAGACCAUCCUAUGUUCUUAUGCAACUUCAAGAAAAUUUGUGUGAAAAGGUUGUGACGUACUACUCAAGGAUCUGUGGAGAAGGUAAACCUCCAUACAUAGUCGAUGAAGGAGGAUUCUAUGCACAUUGCUCCUAUGCCUUCAUAUAUAUUCUGCAAUGACCUAUUAUAAUUGUCUCUCAGAUUCAUCUACGGUGAGUUGUUGAAGUAGUAAUGUCAAGGUAUGCAUGAUUUCAUAGAUACCCAUAAAAGCAUCUUCAUCUACGCCAUCUCAAAGAGUACCAGUGCACAAGCACUUGCUUGCUAUUUAAUAUUUACGACCGAGAUCAUGAUCUCUCAGUGGACACAGGUUUUUUUAGCAGACAGAUAUAUUUCUAUUGUUGUAUAUUUCAUGAAACAAAAAAUUCUAGUAACUAGGAUAGAAACUUGGCCUCUUGAAACACGAGCUAUGAGAUAGGAAUCGGAUGUCACGGAUUUGGUGGAGCCUGAAGCCAUGGGAUUCAUAAUGGAAAGCAGAUACUCCCUCCGUUUUUAAAUAUAAGGUGUAUUAGUUUUUAAAAAAGUCAAACCUUGUCUAUGUGUGACCAACUUUAUAGCAAAAUAUAUAAUGAUUCACAAUACUUGAUAUAUAAAAUAUGAAAAUAUAUUUCAUGAUAAAUCUAGUGAUAAUGAUUUCAUAUUCUAGAUCUUGAUAUUUUUGUCUACAAAACUGUUCAAAGUUAGAGAAUUUUGACUUUAAAAAAAAUAAUACACCUUAUAUUUAGGAACAGAGGGAGUAAUAUGUAGGUCUAGCUAGUUGAUGCUCAAUGAUGGAAUAUGUGCCCGGUAAAUUUAGGUAAGCAUUGCCGUAUAUAUAGAACUCGAAUACAUCCAAAUAGAAGAUGGAAAAGGAUCAGCAGUUCAUGGGCAAGACAUACCAAGAUGGAAAACUAACGUCAACACGCCAAUUCAACAUGCAAGGAUCUCAAUGGUGGUUCUAGGAAUUCAAAAUAUUAAUGCCAACCUUUUCAUGAUAAUUAUAGUUUUUCCUAUCAACAUUGCAUUGCACAAAUAUUGCAAGAGGCAUGAUCUCCUUACAAGAAGGUAUUGCACAAAAAAGAGUAGAGUCAUUUCAGAGUCACGACAUGUUGACACAGGUUUCCGUCUGUUGGUAUGGCUAACCUGAAUUUUCAGAGUUUCCUAAAAGACCAUUUCCUAAUGCCGCACAUUCUCAAGAUCUACAAAAAACUAGUUUCGUCUUUUUUUCUCUAAACAAUGAAACAUGCAAAAUGCUUAGUGGCAACAUUUUUUAAAUUAAGUCGAUGCUUAGUGGCAACGUCAGCGCAGAUUUAAGUGGAUGAACGCUGAAAAACUUUUCACCUACCGUAGUGGAAAUGGAAUAGUUAUGAUGGAAGAUACCCUUGACACCCAAAGAGGAAAGACCAUAAACUAGUCAUCCAUAAUAAGGUAUCUCCUCUUCGCACCCAAAGAGAAAGUGCCGCAUAUUGUCUAUGUGUUUGGUUCGUAUAAAUAACUCAAGCAAAUGUUGAGAUCAAAAUGUUUGUGAUUCCAGAAUAAAAUUUUACGACCCUAUCGUCCACAAAUUCAAGCUUUGUCAUGUUUUCAAAGUCAUGCAUUCGAACCUGCUCUACUGCACAUUCAUUUUCUACGUAUUGAAAGUGAAUAUAAUGUCAAAUAAGAAUUUGAUCUUGGCGGGCACUCAAGAAAGCCGCUCACCACCAUGCACCUGCAAUGUGGCAAUUUUCUUUUAUUUUUUUCAAAAAGAGGAAGACCCCGACCUCUGCAUCUGGACGAUGCAU